GGUGAGAUGGCCGAGCGGUCUAAGGCGCCAGACUAAGGACCAAGGCAUUGGAUGCCUACGCCACAAUCUGGUCUCUUCGGGGGCGUGGGUUCGAAUCCCAUUCUCAUCA